UCAAUAUAAAGGCUGACAGUCAACACCCAAGGACAUGCUGAGUGCUACAGCAGUCUGUGAAGGAUGUUGCGCAAUUCCCCCAUGCUGUGGUUUGAGUCAGAAAUGCCCCACUCCCCAGACCCACAAAGGCUCCUGAGCUUGAUUACUAGUUUGCAGUCGGUGACGUUGUAGACUCAUCAUUCAGCUUCCUGCUCAGGCUGGCUACCAUGCCUUCCCUGCUAUGAAGGCUUCAGCCUGCUGGAACCCGACAUUAAUUGCUUUCUUCCUUAAAUUGCUUUUGGUCUUGGUGUGUUAUCACAGCAACAGAAAAGUAACUAAUACAGCCUAUAUUUUAUAACACCCCCCCCAAACACAACAAAGACUUAUCCAGGAAAAAUCAUCAUGUUGAGAGACCCUAAUAUGAACUUCUAGAACAGCACUCAGAGUUGAGGAGGUAUUAGGACACAGCUGAGACUUGCUAUUUUUAGUCCUGACUUUAGGGACUCUCCUAGGAGCUGUUGAUGACCUCUGGAGACAGUAGCUAGCAGGCUGGGAAGAGACAGAGCCAGGCCUUGAACCUGGGUGGCCUGGCUUCAGAGUCUGUGAGUUAUCCACCACUCUGCCUGUCCAUCCGGAAGAGAAGGGCAGAAAAUGACAACAGCUGAAUCCUCAGCUAUGGAGGCCUGUGUCUAUGGGUAUGUAAAUGAGAGGCCCCAGCAAGUGGUUUAUCAGAAUGCAUCUCUAUAUUCAAGAACUUCAAACAAAGACGGCAAGAGGCUGUAAGUAGGGUGUGCUAGCUAUGUAAAGGUUGUACAUAGUCAACUCCGGGCUGCAGACCAGGGGGCGGGCUGCUACCUCUGCCUGAGUGGACCCUGGAAGGCUGCUUCUCCAAGCCAGGAGAUGCCAUAUUUUGAAGCGGGACAAGAAAGGAAGGCACCGAAGAGGGAAGAAGACACAUAAAGGGGUACAGAACACAUCGAGGACCCACAGGAGGGUUACUGUAGACCCGUCCAUGGACUUCCAACGGUUUGUGAAGACAAUAGGUGUGUAGUGGGAAGUGGUGUGGGAGACAGCUACGGAGUUGUUCGGAACCAGCUCCAGAGCCAGGUGUGGUGGCACACGCCUAUGACCACAGCACUUGGAAGGCUGAAGUAGAAGUAGUUCAUGUUCAAGGCCAUCCUGGGCUAUAUAGCAAGUUUAAGGCCAGCCUGGACAUACAGUGUGACUCUCCCGACCAGGCCACAUUAUCCCUGAUGAUUUAUCCGGGUAACUUAAAGGCCCCAGCUCUGAAGCAGGCAGCUGUGGGACGCUGUGUUCAGGGUGCUAAGGAGGCUGCUGUCUUAGGGGGGAACACUGCUGCCCUCAGCCUUGCCUAACAAAGAGGUUGACAUGGUACUUCUUUGACGUUCCCCAUGGUACAGAAGCUCCACUCCCUUCUAGCCCCUUAGCCCUUUUAGAAAAAGUCCUAACCAGCCAUACUGACCAAGUUCAAGCUGCCAUAGUUAACUCUGCCCCGACUGGCUCUGACAGUUAUCUGUGCUAUACCCAUACCAAGACUCCAAGCCAUAAGCACUAAACUUGCUUGCACAGUCACAGAAAGCCCUGUUAGGUUAUUUCCACCCUCCUAGCAAGAGGUGGCAGCCUGACUGGUGAGAAUGUGGCUUACAGGGAAUCCAAGAGGCCCUCUUCCCCCUCUCUCCUUCCUCAGUUCCUCCCCUACUUCUGGGCAUCCUCUUCCCAAUAAAGAGCCUACAGUAUUAGGCUUCCCGUCACUGGCUCAGUGGCACAGGGAUAAUUAGUGAGAGCACCCACAGGCUUCGUCUGCAGAUCUCCAGGAAAGGGUGACUGCUCAAACAGUGUCUGACACGUCAUGAACACUCCACCAACAUAUGGUGAGUUGACAAAUCAAUUGGAAAUUCAUUCUCAACAGUCAGCUCUUUGGAGCCCUCAACUGAUGCUGUUGAAUCUGUCUCCUCCCUGCCUCCGUGUCGUUAGGUAUGAGUCUCAGAGCCAUGAGAACAAUGCUUUCUGCUGGAGGUACCGUGCCUGCCUUCUCUGGGACCAUGGCUUAUGCAAGGCACCCCGGUGCACCCUCUCUUGCUGCCUUCUUCCUUUGGACAUCAAGACCUCCUUCUCUGGAUUAGCUCAUCCUGAUGCCUUCUAGACUUAACUUCUACCGAGUUUCCCUGCAUCCUCACAGCUGCCCUGCAUCCUCAAAGUCACCCUGCAUCCUCACAGCCACUCAGCAUCUGGCCCAGAGUUCAGUCAGAAGAAGCAUUUGCUGAAGCCCAUCUCUGACACAUGGACACUGUCCCAAAGAGGAGUUCCUGCCCUGGGUUCCACAGACUCUGGGUGGUGACAACCCCAAGAUACUGUAAAGAACUACAGUAGGGACAGCCAGUGACCUUCCUCAGAGGAGGCUUGUGCCAUGGUAAGCCACAGGCAGGAACCACACCAGACACCUGGCCCUUCCUCCACUCAGCUGUCAAGCCCAGAUCACCUGGACCCCUUGUCUGAUGUCUUAGGGCUGUGACUGGCUGGCAAUCAUGCAGUAACUACACAGUGUUAGGCCCAUGUCAGUCCUCCUGAGGGCCACGGCUUCGCUUAGUUGCUUAUCAUAUCCUCAGUUCGGCACAGGGUUGUAUAUUGAGUGGAACGGCAUAUACAAAGGAAUAGCCCGCCUCCAGCUAUUAGCAGAAAGACUCAGUAAGUGGCUCCUUACCAGGAUGGGUAGAACCUGUUAUUACAAGGAGGCACCAAGUUGGCAGGAGGGUCGGGAAGAGCACUCACUGGGGAGUGACAUCUGAGAACUCAAGGCAUACCAGUGUAGAGAAGGAUGCUGGGAGGAACAGUGUCCUGGCCCCAGGCAAGAGAUAAGCAUGUGCCAACGCUCACAGCUAUGAGAAGAGAUGGGGCUGGCAUGGUAAGAAGGCAAGGGGGCCUGGGAACACUGCUGGACUUUAUUCUGAGAGAAAUGAAAAGGCAUGAAGAGUCAAGUGAAAUACUCGGUUUUCAAAAUGUAAAGAGAAAGACAGAUAUACACACGUGUGUACAUGCAUGUAAACUGAGAGAUCAUAAGUAAAUUACAUAGCAGACUUUCUCUGGGUAGUAUCUGAAUCACUGAUUCAUAAAUUUGUCAGGAUGAAUUGGGAAGUAGGGAGGUCAAGAAUUUAAUCCACUCCAAACCUCUGUUCCUAAAUAACUGUGCCCUGUAUGUACAGAAGGUCUGAGGGACAGUGGAAUGGAACAGACAAUCCAGAUUAGCAUCUGGCACAGUCCCCUACAAAAACUGUAGGAUGCUGGACAACCUAACAAAUCUCUCAAAACAUCUGUCCCCUCAUUUGCCAACCCAUAACCUUUCCACCUGAAAGCAUGGGCUACAUGUCACAUCUUGGGACACAAAGCCCUGUUUCCUACUAUAAUGAACAUUAGGGAGGGCCAUUACAAGCCUGCUCGGUAGAUUCAGCACAGAAGCCUUGUGAAAAUUAAUGACACUUAAAUCCUUCAGGCUGAACAUGCCCUGUGUGUCCCUGAAAACCUGCCUCUAGCCUGCACUGUGCUACAAGUGAAGGGCUCAGACGACCGUAGCUCCAAGCUCUCUGCACUCUGGGCUUCCAGCUGGACCCAGACCUGUGGGCAGAAUCAGCAAGAGACGAGACAGGAGAGUGAGUACGGUCAGAAAAGAAACCCUACAAUCCAGAUGGGCUGAGCCUUGUCCUCCCAUGGGGAAGCGCUCUCCCCACAGUCCUCCUGUGCCCCCCUACCUGGAGGUUUUCAGGGUCCCCCAGAGGUUGCCAGCUGUAGUCAACUGCUUCACCAUACCUCCCGCCUCCCACCACGAGGCUUUUGAAAAGAAGCCCUCUAUUCAGUUUGCACCAUGCCCUCUCUGACGUUGCCACCAGUUUCUGAAAAGAAUCCUAAAGGUUAUGUCCAAUGAAAGCUCCCUUUUCUCGUAUUCCUCAGCUUGGGCCUCAGGCCUGGUAUGUGGCCACCUCUGGAACAUGGGGCAGUGGGGGCCAGAAGCACAAAGGACAUGCCAGCCAACACAGACCCUUGCACAUGGCUGGCAUAGGGUACCAGUGGACUGGGUGGGACAGAACACACAGACCACAUAAUCCUCAUGUUCUGAGCCUGACUGCACAUGCGAGUUAGGGGAUGGGAAAUUAUCAGAUUCCCGAGGCAGGGGUGAGAACCUUCCGUAUGAACUGAGGACCAAACAUGGAAGGAAAGACACUGGUGGUGGUGUGUGUGUGAUUUUGGUGAUAACAAGGCAGGAUACUUUGUCUUGAAAAGUGAUCAAUAUGGCAGAUUAGUGCACAGAAAACAGAGCACAGAUGAAACCCCCUAAAAUAUUUAUGAUGUUCGAGUGGUUUUUUUGAACAGAAGCAAGUUUUUCCUGUGCAUGCCAGCCCACUCCAUCAAAGGAACACUUUAAUAAGGCAACUCCCUGCAGGAGGCUCAGCACGGGCGUCGCAGCAGGACGCAGUGGUGUGUUUCAUAAGAUAUUCAUGGUUCUCUCUAGAAAAGAACAUUUUGGGAAGUAGGAAGCCCUUCUCCUUUAUCAAUCUGGCCAUUUUCAUAACCAGAGAAGUAAUAAUAGAGCGGAUGCGCUAGAAAGCUUCUGCUGCUUUUUUGCCUUAAGGGAAAAAGGAGGUGGUGGAGAAUUCUGGGUGAUGAUAAUAGUACCAUAUAUUAAACCUGACAUCAUUCAUCAAGUGAUGGGCAAGAGGCUGCGAUAUGUGACUUUUAAUCCUCUGGGCUCAAGUCUCCACAAGAGCUGUGGCUCCAGAUGCUGCACAGCAGCUCUUGUCCUGGCCUCACUGUUAGAAAGCCCUCUAGGAGCCCCCCUUCCUUUCCUCAAAUACCACAGAUAUUGCAAGCUAGGCUCAGGCUGGUUUGGCCGAGAUCUCUUGGGUUCUGCAGUGCCUCCCAGACACAGCCUCAUUUUUAGUUGCUCAAAAACAGUCUUCACCAACUUCCCUUUGCUGGUUUCUUACCAGUCACUCACUCACUGCACAUUUACUAAGCAACUAUAAUUCAGAUUUUAGGAGUGGCGUCCUGUGCAGGACUGUGCGUACAGCAGUAAGAUGAGUAAGGAAAAGCAGUGUGACACGGGACACAGACCCUUGGCCACAGGACCUUUAUCUUAGGAAGAAUGCAGCAGCACCCUCCUGGUUAGUAGGUGCCAGUGUCUUAAAGGACCAAGCCUGCUUUCAGACCCACAGCAGGGUGAGGGAACAUUGGGAAAGUCUCAAGACACAGAAAGAACAUGGGCAUGUGUGAACUGAUGGAGAUGGAUGUGUCAAGUGUGUUUGGGGUUGAAACAGCAAAAAGGACGGUAUGAGUCCAAACACGACAUUGGGAUGGCAGAAAUAAUGCAGCCCUUGCACCAGCACAGCCAGUUUGCACAGGCAGAGGCUGUGGAUGAGGCCUGUGCCAUGAGGACCCCAAGCGAGGUCUGUGCACGUCCAACAAGACAACCAGGCCUCCUAAUAGUGCCACUCCCUAUGAGAUUAUGGGGGCCAAUUGCAUUCAAAUUACUACAUUCCACUCCUUGGCCCCCAUAAGCUUAUAACAAUAUCAUAAUGCCAUUAUUCACUUAGUCCAACUUCAAAGGGUCCCAUAAUUUAUCACAGUCUCAACAAUGUUUAAAAGUCCAAAGUUUCAAAGUCUCUUCUUUGAUUCAUGCAAUCACUUAACUGUAACCCCCUGUAAAAUCAAAACCAAAAAGCAGAUCACAUACCUCCAACAUAUAAUGCCCAGGAUAUACACUACCAUUGCAAAACAUAGGGAAGGGAGCAUAGUGAGGAAAUACUAGACCAAAGCAAGACCGAAAACCAACUGGACAAACUCCAAACUAUGCAUCUCCAUGCCUGAUGUCAAAGCACUCUUCAGAUCUCCAACUCUAUUCGGCUUUGUUGACUGCAACACACUUCUUUCUCCUGGGCCGGUUCCACUCCCUAUUAGCAGCUCUCCUCAGCAGGUAUCCCUGGGCUCUAGCCUCUCCAACAUCUUGGUUUGUCUAAGGCAAUCCAGGCUUCAAUGUCACAGCUUCACACAAUGGCCUCUCUAGUCCUCCAUUCAAGGACACCCCUGACACAUGCCUUGCAUCAGCAGCUUUCCUUAGUCUUGGGCAAAUUCCAUAGCCCCUUUCUUCUAUCCUUAAUGCCAGAGCCACAUGGCCGAAGCUGUCAAGUUCUGCUGCUUACUAGGGCUGGAACAUGGCCCACUUGUUCAAUUACAUCUUCAUCAGCUUUCUAUCCUUCACUGCCUAAGCUUGGUUGUCCUGAAACGGAAUCUCUAGACCAGGCUGGCCUCAAACUCAGAGAUCUGCCAACCUCUGCCUUCCCAGUGCUGGGAUUAGAGACAUGCACUACCACACCUGACUCUAAGAUUUUCUUUAGUUCCUUUUCACAAGUUGGAAACUUAGCUGGGUGGGAUCUUGCCCUGAGGUCACUGUGGAACCAAAGUAAGGCCAAAAUGCUUUCACCCUAAAACUAAGGCCUAAGACUUCUCCUUUUAGCUACAGGCCAUAAGUUACUGGAACAGGCCAGGAGUUACUGAAACCAGUCAGUCCAGAUUCCAGAAACCAGGAAGUGUAAAAGUACAGAGUCACAAGGUAGUCAGGAGGUAAUGACUGCCAGACUAUGGAAUGUUCUCUCCCUGGUUCUCGAGGUAACUGUUUGACCAUAGAAUGUCCCGACCCUAGUUUCCAUAGUGACUGUGUAAUCACCAGAUGCCCCCAUCUGGGGGCAGCCAAUGAGGAAUGGUGAGGGACAACCACCUCCUUAGAAGGAAAAUUGAAUCGUGAUUUCUGGAAUUCCUAGACACAAGCCAAUCAGAAUUGUACCCAUACUAGCACCCCUAAACGAUGUAACCUUGUGAUUUUUUUCCUUUAAAAACUGAGCUUGCAGAAAGGUGGGCACUUCCUCCAGCCUCCACUGCGUUGGAUCUGUUGGACGAAGUCCCUGCCUAGGCUUGUAUUGCUUUUGGAUUAAACCUUGCUUUUGCAUUCUGGUAUACUCAUCCUCAGUGGUCUCUCUGGGGGUCGAGAUCUGGGCACAACAGUCACCACUCCCUUUAUUCCAUUUCUUAAUCAGUUAUCUCCUUAAACACAUGAUUUAGCUCUAUUCUACUUCCUGGUGCCCCUUUUCACAAUGCGUACAUUUUGUAUUUUUAUUUGAUCAGCUUGCUCCUUUUCAUUAUAAAUCUUCGUUAAGGUUAACACUAAUAACCAGAGGACAGAGUCUAUACUGUUUUGAGAUUUCCUCUGCCAAUGGAAUUAAUCCAAAAACUCUUCACUUUAGCCUCAGGCAGACUCUUCAGACAAGGGCAAAAAGCAGCCACAUUCUUCACCAAACUAUCACAAGAAUGAAUUCUAGGCAACAUACUAAAAUUCUUCUCCUUUGAAACCUCUUGAGCCAGCUCCCCACAAUUCAAAUCACUGUCAGCACCACUGUCUUCCAUGCUCCUACUAGUACGGCCCAUUAAGCAGCACUUAAAACAUUCCACUGCUUUCCUAACCCAAAGUACCAAAGUCCACAUUCCUCCAAACAAAAACAUGAUCAGGCCUAUCACAGCAAUUCCCCUAGUCUCUGGUACCAACUUAUUUCUUAGUUAGGGUUUCUAUUGCUGUGAAGGGACACCAUGACCAUGGUAACUCUUGUAAAGGAAAACAUUUAACUGAGGUGGAGGCUUGCAGUUCAGAGGUUUGGACCAUUAUCAUCAUGGCAAGGAGCAUGGUGAUGUAGAGGCAGACAUGAUGCUGGCUACAUCUUGAUCAGGAGGCACCAGGAAGUUGACUCAGUGUCAUAGUGAGCGAAGGUGGAGCAAAAGAGACCUCUAAGCCUGGGGCCCCACAGUAACACACUUCCUCUAACAAGGCCACAUCUCCUAAUAGUGUCACUCCUUUUGGGGGCCAUUUUCUUUCAAACCACCACAGAAACCAUGGUCAAGAGAUUUUCCUUAAUUGAGCCUCUUCCAAAUAUAGUCAAAUUUCACGCCAGAGCCAGAGGGACUAAGAGUCCCCAGGAAAGCCAGGUAGGCCCAACUGUGUUACAGUAAGAUAAGGCAUGAUGACCAGAGGGCCAGGAUAACAUCAAGGCCAGGGUGAAAGGAGAGAAUCCCCACAGUAUAACCCUGAAGGCAGCAAGCCUGUGGGACAUAGGACUGUGAUUUGGAAUGAGCUCAGGAAAUGCAAGCUAAUUUUAGCCACAGCCAGAGAAAACCAUGAUUCAGAUGAUAGAAUGCUGAACAAAAACUCAGUAUAUGACCAAGCAGAACAGGAACCCAGUGACUGGUCCCUCCAAUCCACAGGUAACCACGCUAUACAGGAGAGCCACAUCCUCAACUCCAGUCUCAUAUCUGCCCUCCAGCUUCAAGGCAAUUCUCACUGCUCAACUCUGCCAUCCUCUUAGGAGCAGGGCCACUUCUGUAAACAACUCAAGUGGAGACAGGGCUGGGGUGUCAACACAGUCGGUAAAACGUUUGCAUUGCAAGCAUGAGGACCUAAUAUUGUUCCCCAAAGCCCACAUUUAAAAAACCCAAACAAACAACAACAAGGCACAGUGGCGUGAACUUGUGAUCCCAGUGCUGGGGAGGUGGAGACGGGUGGAUCUUUGGGGCUCACUGGACAGCCAGUCUAGCUUACCCAAUGGGACCCUAUCCAAUGAGAGACACAUCUCAAAAAAAAAAAAAAAAAGGAAGAAAUGAGGGAGGGGAGGGGAGGAGGGAAGGAGAAGGGAAGGAAGGAGGGGAGGGGAAGACAGACUGGAGAGCCCCUGAGGAACGGCAGCCAAGGUUGCUGAGUUUGAAUGUAUCUCAAAGAGAGUGACACUCUUGGGAGGUGUGGCUUUGUUGGCAUGAAUAUGGCCUUGUUAGAGGACGUGUGUCACUGUGAGGGCAGGCUUUGAGGUUUUCUGUGCGCAGAAUGCCGCCCAGUGUGACAGUCAACUUCCUGUUGCCUAUAAGAUAUAGGAUACUCAGCUACUACACUAGCACCAUGUCUGCCUGCAUGCCGCCAUGCUCCCCACCAUGACGAUAAUGGACUGAACCUCUGAAACUUUAAGUGAGCCACCCCAAUUAAAUGUUUUCUUUAUAAGAGUUGCUGUGGUCAUGGUGUCUCUUCACAGCAAUUGAAACCCUAAGACAGUUGUCUUCUGGCUUGUGUGCUUGUGUGCAUACACACACAUACAUGCCCACACACAUAAACGCACACAGAUAAAGAAGUCAAGUUGGUCCCCUAAGGGUCUCUCAUAUAUUUGAGCAUCACAGACACACUUCUGUUGAUACUACUACUCCAUCCUAUAGCCUGCUUUAGAAAACUGAGGUAAGAGGGGGUUGGGCAAGUACUCCAGAUGGGGAUGUUGAUAAUCACACCAGGGAUUUUAGAGUGGUCCAGAUCCCUCCAACUCAUACGGUGGGCUCCUCCAAAUGCCACCUCUUCUCUACUAAAACUCUCUUGAGUUCAUGGAAGGAAGCAUCAUUUCAGCUGGGCUCAUCAGAACUGCCUGGGGCUUUUCAGAAGAUUCAUCUCUGCUCACCUUCACCAGCUCCUCUUUCUGCAUGCAUCUCACCCCUGCCCCCCAAUGAGACUGUAUUCCUGGGUCCCAUAUCUUAUCCAGAUUUCUAAAAGUGAGUGCCACAAAACCAGUGAUCAAUGAAUUUGUAGGCAACAGAUGGAGAGGAGUCUGACACACAACAGCACCUUGGCUAUGCUUGCCCAGCCAAGCACACACACACACACACACACACACACACACACACACACAAACAUUCAGCCUUGGGUUAGGCACUGUGGCAGAUGUCCAAGAAAGAAGAGACAUUACCCAGCCUUGAGUUAGUAUCUAAAGUGUACCCACAAACUAGAAAUUAGUGAAAAUUCCUCAAAUCACAGUACGGUGUAAUUUCAUUCCCUUAUUUCCCAGAAAAACAAGCAUGGCCAGGCCUAAGCUGAAAGUGAUGAAUGAGGCAGGUACUCUGCCAGCUCCUUUCUUCAUUAGCAUUUGCCUGAUUUGCAAGCUUCUGAGUUAAUUAAUACAAUAUGGAGCAUUCUUCCAGAAAAUGAUUUUAAGUAGAUUAUGGCUUUUCAUAUUUUUAUCUGCACAUCGCUCUACUGCAGUGCCUUCAUCCACCAGGCAUGCUUCUACCUACCUGUUCAUAUAUCCCUAUCUGUUUAUACAUACCUACAUCCACCCAUCCACUCCACCUAUCCAUCCAUCCAUCCACCCACCCCCAUAUAUACAUACAUAUUACAUACAUACACACACACCCAUCCAUUCAUCUAUCCAUCCAUCCACCAACCCCAUACAUACAUACAUAUAUACAUACAUACAUACACACACCCAUCCAUUCAUCUAUCCAUCCAUCCAUGCACAUCUACCCACCUAUCCACUCACCCACCCACCCAUCUACUCAUCUGCCCACCCAUACAUACAUUCAUCCACCUAUCCAUCUAUCUUCCCACCCACCCAUCCAUCUAUCUACUCAUCCACCUGUCUAUAACUCCAUCCACCCACACAUCCAUCAAUCUACCCACCCACUCACUCAUCUACCUAUCUACUCAUCUAUCCAUCUAUCCUCCCUAUCUAAAGAUCCACAUAUCCAUUCACCUACCAUCCACCCAUCCAUCCCUCUAGUCAAUCGAAAUGUAUGGAAUACAAGCUAUCAACAAGUUGUGUGGAAGAUCCUGAGAGCAGGAGAGUGGGGGAGCAGUACAAGAAGAAAAUCAGAUUACUAUGUCGGAAGUUAAGAGGUCAUCGGGAAAGCCUGCACUGAGCGGAUACCCAUGGACCACGUCUGAAAGGAGAAAGAGGACACCAACAUGUCCCAGCGAUAUGUAAAAGUGAGGAAAGGACACAUAUCACGGGGGUAUAUAGUGGCUGCAAGGGCAGAAGCCUAAGCAGGACUCCUAGGCUUGCAAGACUCUGGUGUUGCCAGAGUCAACAACAGAGUCAACAACAAGCGGCAGCAUUGGCACGCUGUACCUCAGAUGGUGAGAGGCAUGCUGGGAGUCAGGGCUGAGGCAGGAAGAGUGGGAAGGAUAUGGAAGCCUGUGUGUGGGGAGGAUGAAGCCCAGGUGUGGGAGGAGCAUGAAGCCUGGGUUUGGGAGCACAGAGACUGGGCAUGGGAGCUCAGGCUCAACUAAACCACAGGGAGGAACAGGAGAUCUUCAGGAGAAGGCACCUGGCUGAGGGAAGAGAGAGGGCAGAAUGGCUGCCAUGACCCAGGAGAGUGGCGGAGCCCAGCCAGAGCUGGAGCUGCUAGGGCAGUAACAGACAUGGCAGAAGAGAAUUCAGAGGCUUUCCUGCCAAAGCCAUAGGCACAGGCACACUGGGGACUCAUCCCCAGAAGUAAAAGUGUGUACCUAUCCUAUUGCAGGCCCGAGGGCUCCAAUGAGGGAUCUUUAUCCCUUCUAAAAGGCUCCUCUGCUGAGCUCUGGCUCCUUCCAGAAGAGGCCAAGUGACAAAUUAGAUGCAGUCCUGUCUGGCUAUCUCUUAAGGUGUCUCCUGUGACCUCGACCCUCAGCUGACACAUUCCCCUGACUAUAGCUGAACAUGGCCGAGGUGACAGGAUGUCUGUGACUGGACAAGCUCCCACCUCACAGGAGUCUCUCCCCUGCGCUGUGACACAGGAAACAGUGGCUCCCUGGGAAGUCCCAACAUGGCAGACCCUAUGUGUGACAUCAAGUCAAGAGCUAUCUAUCCUCAGCAGACAGCAGCUAGCAACCAAAGUUUUUACGUCAAGGACUGAAAGGAACAGGAUGCUACCAACAACACAGGAGAGCUGGAGACACCGCCGUCCUGGGCUGGGCUCUGGCUGCAUCUAUGGCCCUCGCAACACCUCAACUGCAGCCCUGUGAGAUCUGAACUUAGGAUCCAGCUAAGGGGCCUGAGAGCUGCCCCAUCAAAAAUGAGGCAGGGGCAGGUCUGUGUCUCUCUGAGAAUGAAGUCCAUGCUAACUUAAGCGAGGUCAUUAGAUAGCUAAAGCACUUAGUAGGGUUAGCAAAGGCCUCAGGUCAGAGAGGGACCAGAACAGCCCCAAGACCUGCUCUGUCCUGGCUUCUGAGGCUGAAAUAGGGAGCGCGGAGAUCCCAGAUCCGCGGCAGAACCAAACACGGUGUUAUUUGCCCAGUGCACACACUGAAUGUUUGCCGAGUGCGAACAUGGAAACGUUUUCCUGAGCCCUUUAAAUCUUCACUUUUAUUCUGUGUAUUGAGCAUGACUCAUGCACACAACUGUCAAUUUGGCAUCUCCCCGAGGAUGUCAAGGCAGGUCCUCGGUGCCAAGGCCUCCUCAGAUGAAUUUCCUGUCCCCGCCUUAAGCCAGACCCCUACCCAGACUUGCCUAUCCAUCAACAGCCCACCCUCCGUCUUGCUGCUGGUCACCACCGCUCACACCACAGCCAAUCCUCUGUCCCUUGGAAACGUACUUCAGAUCCAAACAACACCACCCACGGCCAUGGUGACAGUCUGAGACCCCAGCUCCAGCCUGAGCUCACAGCCGCCCCCUCUGGCCUCCCGCUGCUGCCACGUCUGCCCUCUUCCACUUAAUCUCCAAACUCCAGCCAAAACAGCUAUUUUCUUAAGUGAAAUUGCAAAUUUCAGUCCUACUUAAAACCUUCGCUGGCAUCCACUGCCUCUUGAUCAAAUGAAGUCCCUUGACCCCGGAGUGGCCUGAGUCAGCAGAUCCUGUGGCUCUGGGUGAGCUAAGUCCACUUCCUCAUCUCUCCCUGCAAACAGCCGCAGCCCCUCUGGGCCAGACCUUCCAAGAGCUGGGCCACAGUGUCUCCUAUGCUGGCUGAAAUAUCCCCCAUCUUUGUGCAUCUCAAUUUUAGCAUCAAUCCCUGGAAGAGUCUUUCACUACGUGAUAUCCCUUUCCUCAGUGUGUACAGCGGGAUUACUAAGCAGAAAAUCACAUAUGCGUCUAUUUGUACUGAUGUCUUCCCGCUCAGACUAUCAGCUGCCCAGGAACCCAAGUGGUGGGUGUCCACCUGCCACAUGCUCAACAGGAGAGCUACCAUAAAGCCUGGUCCCUGAGGGCCCUGAUGGCACUUUCACAAGACAGAUCCUUUGCUUCCCAAGAGGAGUACAGGUGCAGUUCCCUAAGGGAUACUAGGAGGCCAGGGUAGCAGCUCUCAACCUAACUUCCUCCCUCAGAUAGGUCCUGGUGUACUCUGGUCUGGAUCUCUCCAGGAUGUGGGUAUCCUCAAGAUGGAGGGAAAAGAAAGACAGCCAUACCCAUGUUGCUCUGUAGAUUUCUCAGAAGUUCAUACCCAAUCUGUCUGAGGUCCUUGAAACCACUGUGGCAAAGGAUCGCCGACCCACUGGCUUAACUGUAUUAACCCCACAGUUCUAGAGGUCAGAAGUGCUAAGACCAGGGUGGCCCCAGAGUGGUCCAGCUGGAUGCUGGAAGCUUCUGGAUGCUUCAGAGCAGAAUCAGUCUUCUGGUCGUUCUGGCUUCUAGAAGCCCUGGCACUCACUCUGUGGUUGGGCCCUGGCUUCACCUCCCCCUGCGGCCUUCACUGCCAUGUAACCUGCUGUCUGUGAGCCCUGUACCCCACUCUCUUCUGACAACCCAGGCGAUCACUUUAGCCCACCUGGAUAAUCCAGGAUCAGUUCCUUCUCUCGGGUGUGACAUGGACAGAGUCAUAUCACCCAAGUCUGUGCGAGGACACUUACUCAGUGUCCGGGGAUGAUAACCUCUUUGGGAGGGUGUUCUCCAUGUAACAUAAUGCCCCUCCCUCACUUGGCCAAAGGGAGUCCCAGGACCAAUCCUAACAUCUCAAGGGAGGGAGCUCUCAAGCUCUUGGCCAAGUGUGAAGUCAGUGGGGAGGGUCAGUCUACAAUGCCUGGUGACAGUACUAUGGCUGCCUUUGGGGGCUGAGCUCAUAGAGAAGAGGCUCAUUGCAGAGCUCCAGGGACUCGGAGGCUCUGAAUUUUUCAGAGCUUUAGAAGGUGACAUCAAGGGUCCUCAGGUUUAAAUCUUCCCAUUUUUAGAGAAGAAGACACUAUCCUUUAAAGACACACUCUUGAUAAAGUUAUAGGGCCUCACAGCAUGCCAAAUGGGUGGCCCUGAGUAAGUCACGGGAUGCUGUUUGCACACCUUAGAAGCAGAGGCUUAUGCACCCCUCACUGCCUCCUCCCAGGAGUAGAGCAGUAGUUCUCAACCUUCCUAAUGCUGUGACUUUUUAAUACAGUUCCUCACGUUGUGGUGACCCCCAACCAUAAAAUUAUUUCACUGCUACUUCCUAACUAUAAUCUUGCUGCUAUUAAGAAUCACAACGUAAAUAUUUGAUAGGAAGGAUAUCUGAUAUGUGACCCCUGUGAAAGGGUCAUCUGAGCCCGCCUCCAAAGGGGUCAUGACCCACAGGUUGAGAACUUCUGGGGGUAGAGCGAGGUGGAGGAAGAGCAGUAGAGUGUGCUAAGGCCACACAGUGGUGGUGUGUGACAGAGCAGUGGAUAUGAACACAGGCAGGCCGCCCAGAAACAAAGGAACGGACCAGAGAAUACUGGGGGGGGGGGGGACUCCAAAGCUGAGCCGAAAGCUGUUUGAGGCCCAGAAGGAAGGGCUUCUGGAGUCAGGAGCCCUGCUGCAGAAGACACCAGCAAGCAAGGAAAGAACAUAUUGGCUGGCAACGCUGGGAAGCUCCAGGCUCAGUUCAUCUGGAAGAAGGCACUGCUCCUUCAGAGGGAGCCUUGCCUGUAACUUCAGAAGGCCUGAGAGCAUUCAGGUAUGAGUAAGGCUGAGGAGCAACAGGAAGUGGGGAAAGGAUCAGAAGUGGAGGCGGCUGCUGCGGACCGCAGAAAUACAUCCUAAGAACUCAGCUGGUUAUGGCAAAGUCACUACCUGGAGGGAUCAGGGAAUUCCUCCAGAGGAAGCCAAAUUCCAAGAAGCUUUUGGUGUUAUUUGGCUUGUUAUAUAUCAGCUGUCUUCUGUUAUGAAAAUUAUGUGUGCCUUCAUAGUUUUCCCAAUUGACUUUUCCCUAAGAAGGGCUAACAGUGUGGACUGAUCACUCUCUGGACAUACACAUUCCAGGUUUUGGAGAACAGCCUCAGGAAAGCCUUCCUCUGGAAUCAGAUAUCUCCCUUGGCCACUUUCAAGGACUAGCAGUAAUAACAGCCCACAUGCAAGUCUCCUGAUUUAAGAUAAAUUCCACAAGGAGACACUGCCUAGGUCAGGUGGAUGUUAAGUAAUAGUUUUACACAACUUAGUCAUACCCUCCUUUCUUAUAGCCUUACUAACUUUAUAGACCUCUAACUCCUUACCUAACCACUUCUAGGAAUAUUUAGAUAACCUUCUGAGCUGAUAGCUAUGCUCAGUCAGAACCCCAGUUCAAGCCUCCCUGUAAUUAUCAUCAUUGGCAGCAUCUGGCCAGGUCCAUCUCCAGAUGGAGGAAAGUACCUUAUCAGAGAUACCUCUGUACUCUCUAAGUACAGACUAAAGCAUCCAGGCUACCUGUUUGAGAAGGCCUGGCAGAUGUGCCAAUUAAGCUUAACUACCUCCUUUCCCAAAUCUUUCCUCCAGUUCCAGAUCUCCCUUUAACUAUCACCAGAGGGAUCAUCUAGCAACUGAGCACACUUUCCCCCACCCUGCAGAAAAACGGCAGAUAGCUUGGACAGACAGGAGCCACAGGAAAAAAAGAAGGCAGUUUUAUUUUCUCCCAUUGACCUAACAACUUAUAGAUUCUUAACAUUUUCUACUAAUCACGUUUAAGACUAUAGUUGAGCACAUAAGAUCCCUCUUCUUAGAUAUUACCCAAAUUUAGCCUUUAGUUAAUUCAUUUCCCCAUUGGUCACUUCCCUUUGGGGUUGCAAAUGAUAACUAAUGGCUAUUACCUCUCUAUGUGAUUCUUAUCACCCCUCCAUUUAACCCUGGAAGCCUGGCUUUGCACUGCUAAGGGAAUACUGCUUAUAAGUGUAUAUAUACCGGGACUUCCAGAGCACUGGAGGACAGAGAAGAGAAAAGAGAAUGGAAGAACUAGAUGGGUAAGAACUUGAGAGGAACAAACUGAGAUGGGGAAGAACUAGACUGAAGGGCUAGAGGAGAGUAAUAGAGGAAUGAGAUGGAAGAUGAGGAAGAGCCAGAUGGGGAAGAACAAGAUGAGGAAGAACAAGAUGAGAGAGAAGGAGAUGGGAGAGGAGCUGAUAGGGGAAAGAACUAGAUGGAUGAGAACCUAGAAGAGGCAGAACUAGAUGAAGGAAUUAAGAUAGAACCUGGAGGGGACAACUGAUAUAUGUAAGGAGAAACUGGGCAAGAAAGGAGCUAAAAAUGAGAGCAGAGUAUAAGCUUGUAGAGAGAGAACUGACAAUAAAAAAUGUGUGGACUAAG